rnacentral:rRNA from 1 species
UACGGAGGGUGCAAGCGUUAUCCGGAUUCACUGGGCUUAAAGGGUGCGUAGGCGGAUAAGUAAGUCAGUGGUGAAAUCUCCGAGCUUAGCUCGGAAACUGCCGUUGAUACUAUUUGUCUUGAAUAUUGUGGAGGUAAGCGGAAUAUGUCAUGUAGCGGUGAAAUGCUUAGAUAUGACAUAGAACACCAAUUGCGAAGGCAGCUUACUACACAAUGAUUGACGCUGAGGCGCGAAAGCGUGGGGAUCAAACAGG